GGAAGUAAAAGCGUAACAAGGUUUCCGUAGGUGAACCUGCGGAAGGAUCAUUAUUGUAUAACCGAGGUGCGAGGGCUGUCGCUGACCCGAAAGGUCGUGCACGCCCGAGUGCCCUCACACACAUCCAUCUCACCCCUAUGUGCACCACCGCGUGGGUCCCCCUUUGGCUUGUUCGGAGGGGGGCUUACGUUUUCACACGAACUUUGUAUGCAGUGUAGAAUGUAUUUUUUGUUUUUGCGAUCACGCAAUCAAUGCAACUUUCAACAACGGAUCUCUUGGCUCUC
rnacentral:misc_RNA from 1 species